GGCAGUUCUCGGGUGAUGCACCUUGGAAUCAGGCUCCCUCCUCUCUGGUUCCAGGUGCGCCACCUGAGAACCACC
rfam:Myotis lucifugus cont2.23266, whole genome shotgun sequence.